rnacentral:rRNA from 1 species
UACAGAGGGUGCGAGCGUUGUCCGGAAUCACUGGGCGUAAAGGGCUCGUAGGUGGCCUGGUAAGUAGGGUGUGAAAUCUCGAGGCUCAACUUCGAGGCUGCCUCCUAAACUGUCAGGCUCGAGCAGAGUAGAGGCAGGUGGAAUUCCCGGUGUAGCGGUGGAAUGCGUAGAGAUCGGGAAGAACAUCGGUGGCGAAGGCGGCCUGCUGGGCCCUUGCUGACACUGAUGCGCGACAGCGUGGGGAGCAAACAGG